CUUGGUCAUCAAUGUGCUGAUGCUGGUGUACCCGGUCGAGGGGAUCAAGAACUGGCAGCUGAAUGGGCAGCCCUGAUCUGACCGCACUGACUCGACGGGUGACGAGGAUUGCCGCUGAUUUCCCAGCUGCGGUCGGCGCGCCCGGAUGGCCUUGUCGAAGGUGACGCCGGGCAGGCGCCCCCGGUUUUCAUCGGUUCAGUUGGUUCUCCUUGGCCGUGCCCUGCCAGCGCGGGACCUCGACGAUGCCCUUGCCCUGGUGGAAGUCGGUCAGGUCGAUGGUGAAGUGGCCGCCGUAGG
rnacentral:misc_RNA from 1 species